rnacentral:rRNA from 1 species
AGAGUUUGAUCCUGGCUCAGGAUUAACGCUGGAGGCGUGCCUAACACAUGCAAGUCGAGCGAUACAGAACUUUAGCUUGCUAAGGUUGCUGAUAAGCGGCGGACGGGUGAGUAAUACAUAAGCAAUCUGCCCUUUAGUUGGGGAUAACCCUUGGAAACAGGGGCUAAUACCGAAUAGUCUCAUUUAAACGCAUGUUUUUAUGAGUAAAGGCUUCGGUCGCUAUUGGAGGAGCUUAUGCCUGAUUAGUUAGUUGGUAAGGUAACGGCUUACCAAGACUAUGAUCAGUAGCUGGUCUGAGAAGAUGGUCAGCCACACUGGGACUGAGACACGGCCCAGACUCCUACGGGAGGCAGCAGUGAGGAAUUUUGCGCAAUGGAGGAAACUCUGACGCAGCGACGCCUCGUGAACGAUGAAGUCUUUAGGGAUGUAAAGUUCUGUCAGUGGGGAAGAUAAUGACGGUACCCACAGAGGAAGCACCGGCUAACUACGUGCCAGCAGCCGCGGUAAUACGUAGGGUGCAAGCGUUAUCCGGAAUUAUUGGGCGUAAAGGGAGCGUAGGCUGUUGAAUAAGUAAGGUGUGAAAGCUGCGAGCUCAACUCGUAGUUGCGCCUUAAACUGUUCAGCUAGAGGAUGUAAGAGGAAAGCGGAACUCAUGGUGUAGCGGUGAAAUGCGUAGAUAUCAUGAGGAACACCAGUAGCGAAGGCGGCUUUCUGGGACAUUCCUGACGCUGAGGCUCGAAAGCGUGGGUAGCGAACAGGAUUAGAUACCCUGGUAGUC